ACGUAGGAGGCAAGCGUUAUCCGGAGUUACUGGGUGUAAAGCGCAUGCAGGCGGUUGGCUAAGUUGGGUGUGAAAGCUCCUGGCUCAACUGGGAGAGGUCGCUCAAGACUGGCGAACUAGAGGACGGUAAGGGGAAGCGGAAUUCCGGGUGUAGUGGUGAAAUGCGUAGAGAUCCGGAGGAACACCAGAGGCGAAGGCGACACCCUGGGCCGUACCUGACGCUAAGACGCGACGGCACGGGGAGCGAACGG
rnacentral:rRNA from 1 species